rnacentral:rRNA from 1 species
AAUUGACGGGGCCCGCACAAGCGGUGAGCAUGUGGUUUAAUUCGAUGAUACGCGAAGAACCUUACCGGGGUUUGACAUGCAGGUGAUCGCCGUUGAAAGACGGUUUCCUCUUCGGAGGCACCUGCACAGGUGCUGCAUGGCUGUCGUCAGCUCGUGUCGUGAGAUGUUGGGUUAAGUCCCGCAACGAGCGCAACCCUUGUCAUUAGUUGCCAUCAUUUGGUUGGGCACUCUAAUGAGACUGCCGGUGACAAACCGGAGGAAGGUGGGGAUGACGUCAAGUCCUCAUGGCCCUUAUGGGUAGGGCUUCACACGUCAUACAAUGGUCGGUACAGAGGGUUGCCAACCCGCGAGGGGGAGCUAAUCCCACAAAGCCGAUCGUAGUCCGGAUCGCAGUCUGCAACUCGACUGCGUGAAGUCGGAAUCGCUAGUAAUCGUGGAUCAGCAACGCUGCGGUGAAUACGUUCCCGGGCCUU